rnacentral:rRNA from 1 species
GACGAACGCUGGCGGCGUGCUUAACACAUGCAAGUCGAGCGAUGAAGCGCCUUCGGGUGUGAAUUAGCGGCGAACGGGUGAGGAACACGUGAGAAAUCUGCCUUCAACUCUGGGAUAACUCCGUGAAAACGGGGCUAAUACCGGAUAUGAAACCUGCGGGCAUCCGCGGGUUUGGAAAGUUUUCCGGUUGAAGAUGAUCUCGCGGCCGAUCAGCUUGUGGGUGAGGUAAUGGCUCACCAAGGCGACGACGGGUAGCCGGCCUGAGAGGGCGACCGGCCACACUGGGACUGAGACACGGCCCAGACUCCUACGGGAGGCAGCAGUGGGGAAUAUUGGGCAAUGGAGGAAACUCUGACCCAGCGACGCCGCGUGCGGGAUGAAGGCCUUCGGGUUGUAAACCGCUUUCAGCAGGGAAGAAGCGAAAGUGACGGUACCUGCAGAAGAAGCACCGGCUAACUAUGUGCCAGCAGCCGCGGUAA